rnacentral:rRNA from 1 species
GUCUACAACCAUGCUACCUUGAACUUGCCAGAUCCUAUCUGAUUUUGGAAGUUAAGCAGGGUCGGGCCUGGUUAGUACUUGGAUGGGAGACCAUCUAGGAAGGCCAUCUAUUUCAUUUA